CCUACGGGAGGCAGCAGUGGGGAAUAUUGCACAAUGGGGGAAACCCUGAUGCAGCGACGCCGCGUGAGCGAUGAAGUAUUUCGGUAUGUAAAGCUCUAUCAGCAGGGAAGAAAAUGACGGUACCUGACUCAGAAGCCCCGGCUAACUACGUGCCAGCAGCCGCGGUUAUACGGAGGGGGCAAGCGUUAUCCGGAUUUACUGGGAGUAAAGGGAGCGUAGACUGUUCUGCAAGCCAGAUGUGAAAGCCCGGGGCUCAACCCCGGGACUGCAUUUGAAACUGGAAGGCUAGAGUGUCGGAGAGGCAGGCGGAAUUCCUGGUGUAGCGGUGACAUGCGUAGAUAUUAGGAGGAACACCAGUGGCGAAGGCGGCCUGCUGGACGAUGACUGACGUUGAGGCUCGAAAGCGUGGGGAGCAAACAGGAUUAGAUACCCUAGUAGUC
rnacentral:rRNA from 1 species